AGAGGAGCGGCAGACGGGUGAGUAACGCGUGGGAACAUACCCUCCGGUUCGGAAUAACCCAGGGAAACUUGAGCUAAUACCGGAUACGGCUUAGCGGCGAAAGAUUUAUCGCCGGAGGAUUGGCCCGCGUCCGAUUAGCUAGUUGGUGUGGUAACGGCGCACCAAGGCGACGAUCGGUAGCUGGUCUGAGAGGAUGAUCAGCCACAUUGGGACUGAGACACGGCCCAAACUCCUACGGGAGGCAGCAGUGGGGAAUAUUGGACAAUGGGCGCAAGCCUGAUCCAGCCAUGCCGCGUGAGUGAUGACGGCCUUAGGGUUGUAAAGCUCUUUCGCCAGGGACGAUAAUGACGGUACCUGGAUAAGAAGCCCCGGCUAACUUCGUGCCAGCAGCCGCGGUAAUACGAAGGGGGCUAGCGUUG
rnacentral:rRNA from 1 species